rnacentral:rRNA from 1 species
GCACGGCUCAGUAACACGUAGUCAACCUACCCUGGGGACGGGGAUAACCCCGGGAAACUGGGGAUAAACCCCGAUAGGCCAUGGCUUCUGGAAUGGGCCAUGGCUUAAAUCUAUAUGGCCCCAGGAUGGGACUGCGCCCGAUCAGGUUGUUGGUGGGGUAAUGGCCCACCAAGCCUAUAACCGGUACGGGCUCUGAGAGGAGGAGCCCGGAGAUGGGCACUGAGACAAGGGCCCAGGUCCUAUGGGACGCAGCAGGCGCGAAACCUCCGCAAUGGGCGAAAGCCCGACGGGGUCAGUCCGAGUGGCUCCCGCUAAGGGAGUCUUUUGCCAGCUGUAAAAAGGCUGGCGAAUAAGGGGUGGGCAAGUCUGGUGUCAGCCGCCGCGGUAAUACCAGCACCCCGAGUGGUCGGGACGAUUAUUGGGCCUAAAGCAUCCGUAGCCGGUGUAGCAAGUCCUCCGUU